rnacentral:lncRNA from 1 species
AAUUAUUUACUAUUUAGAGGUAAAAUAAAAUAUCUUCCUCGUGUGAACCAACCUUCUAACUGGGCCAGAAGUUAAUGAUUCGACCAUAUACUAACUGUCUAAUUUACAUAAACUCAGUAGAAUAACCUUUGUUUAUUCAUUUAUUAAAGACAUAAAAUUCACACUCCAUUCAGCCAAAUGCUCACAUUACAAAGUCACUCAUCAUCAUCAACAGAAAGAUACAUAAAACCCCUUUUAUCACGUCCCUUGCAGCCUCUCCACAUUUCAUACUUUUGAAUUUACACAAGUGUUGCCUUGGCGAGCUGAACCGCUUUCUCUCGCCCGUAAAACUUCUCAACAAUCGCAAGUGAAAACUCCAUUGCAGUCCCUGGAGCUCUGCUCGUUAUCACAUUUCCAUCCACAACAACUCUGUGCUCAACGUGGCUCUGGUCCGAAAGUUUGUUGCUCACACAUGGGUGUGUAGUUGCCUUCUUACCCUAUACAAAACAUAUCUCAUAUUAUAACUCAGUUUAAGAUAUAACAAGAAUAUUGAUACUUAACGUUUUCACAAUACAAAUAAUGCACCUUGAGUAAACCAUGAGGCUCAAAGACGUAAACAGGCGAUGCGCAUAUUCCUCCAUAAGGUUUGUUUGCUUCAGCUUGUUUCUUUAACAUAUUCACCAAUUUCUCGCAACUUGCCAAUCUUGGUGCACCGUUAAGACCUCCCUGAAUGUGUUACAUCAAAGAGAUUAGAUUUUUUUUUCGCUUUUGUUAUUUUUUACAAUGAAUCUCUUUGAAAAUAAGCACUCACAGGCAACACAAUCAGAUCAAACGACUUCUCUGCAACUUCAUCAAGAAGCACAUCUGCUACUAACUUAGCUUUGCGAGAUCCUACAACUUCCAAACUGUUACCAACUGCAGCUAUC